UACAGAGGUCUCAAGCGUUGUUCGGAUUCAUUGGGCGUAAAGGGUGCGUAGGCGGCGCGGUAAGUCGGGUGUGAAAUCUCGGAGCUUAACUCCGAAACUGCAUUCGAUACUGCCGUGCUUGAGGACUGGAGAGGAGACUGGAAUUUACGGUGUAGCGGUGAAAUGCGUAGAUAUCGGAAGGAACAUCAGUGGCGAAAGCGGCUUCCUGGUCCAGCACCGACGUUCAGGCACGAAAGCGUGGGGAGCAAACAGGG
rnacentral:rRNA from 1 species